AUUGAACGCUGGCGGAAUGCUUUACACAUGCAAGUCGAACGGUAGAGGGGGCAACCCCUCGAGAGUGGCGAACGGGUGAGUAAUAUAUCGGAACGUGCCCAGUCGUGGGGGAUAACGUAGCGAAAGUUACGCUAAUACCCCAUACGAUCUAAGGAUGAAAGCGGGGGAUCGCAAGACCUCGCGCGAUUGGAGCGGCCGAUAUCAGAUUAGGUAGUUGGUGGGGUAAAGGCUCACCAAGCCAACGAUCUGUAGCUGGUCUGAGAGGACGACCAGCCACACUGGAACUGAGACACGGUCCAGACUCCUACGGGAGGCAGCAGUGGGGAAUUUUGGACAAUGGACGCAAGUCUGAUCCAGCCAUUCCACGUGCAGGAUGAAGGCCCUCGGGUUGUAAACUGCUUUUGUACAGAACGAAAAGGUUUCUACUAAUACUAGGAGCUCAUGACGGUACUGUAAGAAUAAGCACCGGCUAACUACGUGCCAGCCGCCGCCGUAA
rnacentral:rRNA from 1 species